UACGUAGGGUGCAAGUGUUAAUCGGAAUUACUGGGCGUAAAGCGUGCGCAGGCGGUGAUGUAAGACAGAUGUGAAAUCCCCGGGCUCAACCUGGGAGCUGCAUUUGUGACUGCAUCGCUGGAGUGCGGCAGAGGGGGAUGGAAUUCCGCGUGUAGCAGUGAAAUGCGUAGAUAUGCGGAGGAACACCGAUGGCGAAGGCAAUCCCCUGGGCCUGCACUGACGCUCAUGCACGAAAGCGUGGGGAGCAAACAGG
rnacentral:rRNA from 1 species